UCAAAAUGCCAUCUGUUAGAGAGAAUCCCCAUGAGGGUCUAAUAAGUUAAUAAAUGUGAUUUCACUUAUUGCGUUGAUCUGCUAUGAUUGCCAACACCAUAAUACUGAUUUAUUCAGUGGUUUUUCUGGAUGAAAAUUACACCAGUCUAAAAUAGAGUCAUAACUGAAACUUUGAUUGUAAUAAACAAUCCCCUUGUGGAUAUUUUCUUUAAAAAUGAUCAGAAAUUAUGCAGAAUUUUAAGCUAAAUUGCCUCAGUGUACUCCCACAUGUUGCUACUAUAUGAAUGAGUGCAAGUUUAAUAAAACCCGAAUGGCUUCAUGUGUGUUCUGUGUAAAUGACCACCAAGACCGUUCCAGGAACCUUAUUUUAACACUAUUAAAUCCAUUCAGCUUCAUCAUUUCUGAUGGAUAUGUUGCUUUUUCUCUUUGAGCAAGUUGGCAUGGUGCAGUAGCUUUAAAUGACAUAUGAUCUCUUUGUGGGACAUCCCUUUUCUAGAUGAGGAACCAGAGACCACCAGUGUGUUACACCUCAAAUGUGGUCAAAGGAGAAGGAUGAGGAGAGUCUGUGGGGGCUCAGAGACCAGCAGCUCCGUGCUCUCAGAUGGAAGACGGCACGGCUCCGAUCAAGUCCUGCACUUGCCACACACUGAGAAAACACCGUGUGAUUUUGUAGUUUGACUGUUUACCCUGGCUUACCGAUUCCAUGGAAACACCUAGGAGUGGUCAUUUAAAACAACGUGAACCUGCCAGUGAUGUGUCAUUUGUUGGUCUGGGGUGCGCCAAACAGACUGUGGAACUUGGAUCAACAAACGAACUAAAUGACUAAAUGAAUUUUACUUGCUUCAUAUCCUGAAAUGUACCAGUUGAGCCCUCAGUGUGAGGAACUAUACUUGUUUCCGAUUACCUUCGUCUGAAUGUCACAAAACAAAUAAUAAUCCAAUUAAGCUACUGUGAAAAGUCUUUAGUCAUUGUGGAGUGGACUUGAGCAACACCUUUUCAUGUUUUCUAAAGGUCUUAUUGGGUUUUUGCUGCUUUUUUACUCAUUUGUAGUCACUGUCCUGAUCAGAGUAAAUAAACCCUCAAAAGCUUUCAAUUUUAAAUAAUAACACAGUAUUUUUAAUUUUGAACUAUUUAUUAGCUAAUAUUCCAUUAUCAUCCGCUUAUCUGGAGUUGUGUCGCAGGAGCAGCAACCUAAGCAGAGAGGCCCAGAUUUCUCUCUCCACAGCCACUUGGGCAAGCUCCUCUGGGGGAAUCCCAAGGAAUUCCUUGGCCAGCAGAGAGACAUAGUCCCUCCAGCGUAUCUUGGGUCUUUCUUUAGGUCUCCUCCUACUUGGAAGUGCCCAGGAAACCUCACCAGGGAGACGUUCAGGAGGCCUCCUGACCAGAUGCCCGAGCCACCUAAACUGGCUCCUCUUGAUGUUGAGGAGCAAUGGAUUUACUCCGAGCCCCUCCCGGAUGAACGAGCUUCUCACCCUAUCUCUAAGGGAGAGCCCAGACACCCAGCCAUAAAAGUCAUUAUUACCUAAUAUUAAUAUGUCAAAUGUAGGAUGAUCUGUUUUGUUUUUAUUAAAUAGCAAUAGCUAUAAGAGUAAUAAUAAUAAUAAUAACCAAUCAAUGAAUUAAUCAAUUAUCACUUGUAGAUCAUCCACUAGAUCAGUGGUCCUCAAUUGGUGGCCCGCGAGCCCUCUCUUUGUGGCCCCCAAACCCCGUGUGCACCCCCACCCCCACCCCUGAUGGCCGAACGAGAGGUGUAGGAUAGAUAGAGCUGAGGAAAAUAAUCAAAUAAUCAGUGCAUCGAGAUGCUGGCAUAAACUAUUCUGCAUCAUAGAAGAGUACCGUAAUCAAUUAUAGUGGAAUGUGGUUUUGUUAUUUUAGCGGCAGCACCAGCGUAGUAUCCACGUCUGUCAGAGCAGGUGUUCUCCACAUUUACCGGGUAGGAAACUUUGGUCUGCCUUUAUGUGGUGGCAGGGCUGAGCGUUGGAGUUAUAACCUGAGACCGAACCCGAACUGAAUCAGCCCGAUUGGUUCUGUUGGAUUUGGGCCAUGAAUUAUGUUAAAUGAGCGAGUUGCCACGCGGCGCAAUCUGAUCGCUUGAUCAGCAACUGAGAGAGAGAGAGAGAGAGAGAGAGAGAGAAAGAGAGAGAGAGAGAGAGAGAGAGAGAGAGAGAGAGAGAGAGAGAGAGAGAGAGAGAGAGAGAGAGAGAGAGAGGAGGGCGCUCCUCCAAACACGCAUUAUUAUUUUCAUAAUUUCAUUAUUAUUUGUCCUCAAAGCACUCAGUCAAACCGAGUGCUGUGAUGUCGGGAGAUCCGGUCUUGGGGAGGGAGCGAGGUCAGUGACGGCAGCUCUUUUAUUUAGGGACACAGAGAAAUUAAAAGGAGAGAGAAAUAGAAGAUAGAAGUUUUUUGUUCCACUUUAUUCUUUUGUUUCAUGAUAACAAACUGAUGUUAAAUUCAACUUAAAAAGAAACUGGGAGGAAGCUUUGGUUCAUUUUAAGUUACGCUUAAGCCCCAACUUCCUUCCCUAGAGGCACUGAGGAUUACCCUGGGGGUCGCAACCAGCAGCCGACAGAGCUCUGAGAGAUAACGACGGCAAGUCCCCAGGCUCACCUGCAGCCGCCCACCCCCAAGUUGGCCGAGCUCGGAGCACAGCAGCCCGCAGGGGGGCUGCCAGAGAUUUUGGGCCCCAUGAAAAAAUAUCAAGUUGGCCCCCCUGGGUGCUCGUCCAGAUUCGAAGGAAAUAUAUAUAUAUACUUUAUAUUAGUGUUCCUUUUUUGCUUAAUUAUGUAGGUCUACAUGCAUUCUUGUCACGAGCUGACUGGCGGAUCCGUAAAAACACCCAACACAGAAUGACAGUUUAACGAUGUUUAUUAAUAGGAGAGAGGCAGAGGCUAGGUCAGGAGGCAGGAGGUCGUUACCAGGAGAUCUGAAAUAGAGAAUAGUCCGUAGGGGAAAUCCAAGAAGCAAAGUCGGGGACGGAGCAGGAUCAGAGCCAGAGGAUCAGAGUAGCAGCGGAGCCAAAAGGGGAAAAUCCAAGAGACGAGGUCGGGAACGGAGCAGGGUUCGGGAUCAGAAGACAAGGUGAGUAAUCAGGCUGGAGAAUUUACUUGCAGAGCGUUCAAUAAUCUGGCAAUGACUGGGUAGCUGAAUGGAUCUUUUAUAGCAGGAAAAGCAGGUGUGGUGAAUUAGGUUGAUGAUAGAACAGGUGGAAUGAAUGGAGCUGAUGAGGUAAGGGCUGUGGUUGCUGUGGCAACAGGUCUUUGGCAGGAACAGGAUCAUGACACAUUCUUACUUAUUUACAUAUCAUUUUCACCAGCUGUCUCUCAUUAAACAGUGAAUUUCCUUCAACAGAAUUAGCAAUAUCACUGCUGGAAAAAGCAGGAAAUGCACAUGCUGAAAGGUGUUAAGGUUGGUUUAUGCUUGACGCAUCCGCGAGGUCCGCACGGCUCCGCACGGAGAAAUUGCAUCAUUUUAACAACCACGCCCCUCCACCGCGCCUCCGCACGGCCCAAAAUUUCCGCAACGCGUACCUAGGAAAAUUUCUAACCACGCGGACGGUCGGACGCGGAAAAACAUGGCAGACCGGCAAGAACAAGUGUGGCAGAGGUUCGUAAAUACAGACAUUUGUAUGAUUCAGCUCUCAGAGAUCACCGUGAUCAACAUGUUGUUAAUAAUUCUUGGAGAGAAAUAGCUCGCACUGUCGGAAAAGAUGAGGACGCUGUUAUAAAUGCUGGAAUGCCAUGUUGUAAACAACAGUUUUUACUUCUACUAUGGUGUAGUGUUGGAUGCAUGCCGUAGAGCUCCAUGCUGCCCCGUUCAGUUUGGGAGAAUAUUGGCUCACCGCAGAGACAAGCCGCAUGAACCAUAAACGCUGCGAGUUGUGAAGCGCGUUCCAUCCGCGAGCCGCAUCACCAAGCGGAAAGUGAAUGCGUUAAGCAUAAACCAAGCUUAAAUCUCCUUUUCCCUUUUACUCCCUUAAAAUGUGUUUAUUUAUUCUAAAAUUUUAUUUGAUGAUAAAAUUCAAAUUUGGAUAUCAAAUUAAAUUUCCAUGUUGUGUCAAAGCUUUACAUAACUACAUUUUCAGCUGUCUUUCCUCUUGAACUCAAGUAUUUCUGUAUGACUGACAAAAAUUAAGGAUUCACUGCUCACAAGGUGACUUCUUUAUUAAGUCUCCAUGGCUUCAUCAUAGACACAAAAUGAAUAAGCACACAGUUCAAACCGGAGUCAGUUAGGGUUACAUAAAAUUUUAAAGUUGGACAACUUUGCAUGAAUACGUAUAUACUUUGUCCUGACCAAACCUGACAUUGGGAAGGUCCAGGCUCUGUACUUAAUGAAAGUGAUAUAUGUGUUGCAAUAUAGGCUAUCAUUUGUGAUAAAAUCUUUAUCCAAGUUACAACAGUCUUUAAAAUUAAUGCACAACGGGGAAAAUGCAGCACAGACUCCUGCAGGAUAUUAGCUGUAGUUAAUCAUCAAUACUAGAUUUCAUAUUUUAUUGUGUUCAAUGUUAUAUUAAGUUUAUUUAUUACAAUUAUUAAUAGCUUUUUUCAUUUUUGCUCACUGAUGAAUUAUAUGGAAAUUACUGAUUUUUGUUUGUGUUCUAAAAGCUACAUAAACAAAUUACUUUUUGUAAAACCUCCCAUAAUUCAGUCAGAUUCAAAACAUUUCAUUUCAAGGUGUUUAGUAGAUGAAGAGGUUUUUUUUUCUUGUAUGGUGCCUUCAAAAAGGUGCUUCACAGUAAUAAUCUCACGGUAAUUUAUGUUACAUUAACAGACUAAAUAACAAUGCUUCAACCUGCCCAGCAUCCAAAAC
rnacentral:lncRNA from 1 species